AAGCGUUGUCCGGAAUUAUUGGGCGUAAAGAGCUCGUAGGUGGCUUGUCACGUCGGGUGUGAAAGCUUGGGGCUUAACUCCAGGUCUGCAUUCGAUACGGGCUGGCUAGAGGUAGGUAGGGGAGAGCGGAAUUCCCGGUGUAGCGGUGAAAUGCGCAGAUAUCGGGAGGAACGCCGGUGGCGAAGGCGGUGCGCUGGGCCUUUCCUGACGCUGAGGAGCGAAAGCGUGGGGAGCGAACAGG
rnacentral:rRNA from 1 species